rnacentral:sRNA from 14 species
AUAGAUAUGGUGAUAUGUCUCCACAAACAUCAAUGGGAAGAAUUGUUGGUAGUUUAUGUGCUAUAAUGGGAGUUUUAACAAUAGCAUUACCUGUACCAGUUAUUGUGUCUAAU